rnacentral:rRNA from 1 species
UAAUACGGAGGGUGCAAGCGUUAAUCGGAAUUACUGGGCGUAAAGCGCACGCAGGCGGUUUGUUAAGUCAGAUGUGAAAUCCCCGGGCUCAACCUGGGAACUGCAUUUGAAACUGGCAAGCUAGAGUCUCGUAGAGGGGGGUAGAAUUCCAGGUGUAGCGGUGAAAUGCGUAGAGAUCUGGAGGAAUACCGGUGGCGAAGGCGGCCCCCUGGACGAAGACUGACGCUCAGGUGCGAAAGCGUGGGGAGUAAACAGGAUUAGAUACCCUGGUAGUCCACGCUGUAAACGAUGUCGAUUUGGAGGUUGUGCCCUUGAGGCGUGGCUUCCGGAGCUAACGCGUUAAAUCGACCGCCUGGGGAGUACGGCCGCAAGGUUA